GAGGGUAUAGCUCAAUGGUAGAGCUCAUGCUUAGCGUGACCGAGGUCCCGGGUUCAAUCCCCAGUACCUCCA
rnacentral:tRNA from 1 species